CCGAGUGGAGUGGGGACGGGAGGGGCGGGGACGGUGCCUAAAGAGGGCAGGUGACCGCAGGGCAGGAAGUGCUCCCUGUCGGCCUCACUCCCUGGGGCACCGCGUGGCCAUAAAGCAGCAGCCUGAUGUCACAGAGGAGACCCGACCCUGGAAUGAGCUGGAUGUGACUCCCAGGCCUCCUCUACCAUCUACCGAUUUUAUGGUUUGUCCCAGCCUCCAUGCCACCUGGUCCCCACAUCUGCGUCCUGCAGGGACCCGCCGAGCUUCCGCUGGAGAAAGAACCGAGCCACCCGACCAGCUCCCCCCCUGCGCCUGGUUGCUAAGGGCAGUGUGUCCUGUUGUUCACCCCACUUCGGCCUCCUCCCUGCAGGCCUAGAUUUCAGGCCCUGCGUCCUCCAUCUCUCUGACUUCUGCUCCAUGUGCUGACAUCCCCUCCGACUCCAAGCACCGGCGCUCAUAACCUACGCUCUGCGAUUACCGUCCAGUCCGAAGACAUGGGCUCUCCCCACUUCCUCCUGCUCUUGUGGACAUGAUCAGGGAGGGUGAAGACAGUGAAAGGGCCAUGGCCCAGCGAGACCUGGUGAAGCCCACCUUCACGGGAUUGCGUGGUACCCCACGGAGGAGCAAGUCCGAACUGUUGCCUUGAUGAUUGAAUUGGAAGAUAACAAUCAGACAUGUGCACUUAAAACAAUAUGUAUUCUUCUUCUUUUUUUCAGAAAAUUUGAGGGACUCACUUGAUGAUAAUCCACUAACAAUUAGCCGGAAGGCUAAUAGGGGAGGGGCAGAAUAAGAUGAAAAACCCAUGACUAAAAUAGAUGACUAAUAAGGACCUACUGUAUAGCACAGGGAGCUCUACUCAAUACUCUGU